GCUUGAACCCCGGCGGGUGGAUCACCUGAGGUCGGGAGUUCAAGACCAGCCUGACCAACAUGGUGAAACCCUGUCUUUUUUUUUUUUUUUUUUUUUUUUUGAGCAGUUUAUUGUCACCUCGGCUGGAACGAUUGAGUCCCCAGACAUGCCAGGAGGAUAUUCUUGCUUAGGUUUGAUUUCAUGUGGGAGACAGAGGCAGGCUGCCCCCUCGAAAAGGGGUCCCCCCCGAGACAGAUGCAGCCCAGAGGACUGUGUGCGUGGGGUGCUGGUUUCUGUGGAGACCGGGGGGGUCUUCUGCUUUUCUGCCGGCAGAGAAGUGGGGUGACUCUCUGUAGUGUGGAUGGGCGGUCCCCGAAUGAGUGUGGGGUACGUGUGUGUGGCGCCUGCUGCUUUGUCCCCGAAGCUCCGGGACGCAGGGAAAUGAGGAUUUUCAGCUCUUGCCACCAACGGCCUCUGCUUCUCUCUCUUUCUUUCUUUCUUUCUCUUUCUUUCUUUCUUUCUUCUUUCUCUCUCUCUCUUUUUUUCUCUCUCUCUUUCUGCUUCUCUUUCUUUCUCUUUCUUUCUUUCCUUCCUUCUCUCUUUCUCUUUGUUUUCUAUCUCUUUUUCUUUCUGUUCCUUUUUUCUUUCCUUCUUUCUCUUUCUUUUUCUCUCUUUCUUUAUUCUCUUUUUCUUUCCUUCUUUCUCUUUCUUUUUCUCUCUUUCUUUAUUCUCUUUUUCUUUUUCUCUCUUUCUUUAUUCUCUUUUUCUUUCUUUUUCUUUCCUUCUUUCUGUUUCUUUUUCUCUGUUUCUUUAUUCUCUUUUUCUUUCUUUUUCUUUCUUUCUUUCUCUUUCUUUUUCUCUCUUUAUUCUCUUUUUCUUUCCUUCUUUCUCUUUCUUUUUCUCUUUCUAUCUCCUUUCUUUCCUUCUUUCUCUCUGUCCUUUCUCUUUCUUUCUUUCCUUCCUUCCAUCUUUCUAUUCCUUUCUUUUCUCUUGUUUCCUUGUUUUUUUCCCUCUCUCUUUUCUCUCUUAUUCCUUCCUUUCUUCUUUCCUUCCUUCCUUUCUUCCUCUUUCUCUUUCCUUCCUUCCUCUUUCUGUUUCUUUUAUUCUUUCUUUCCUUUCUCUUCCUAUUUCUUUUCCUUCUCUCUUUCUCUCUCUCUCCUUUCUUUCAUUCUUUCUCCUUGUCCUUUACUUGUCCCUUUCUCUCUUUUCUUCUUUCUCUUUCAUUCGUUCUUUCUCUUUCUUCGUCUUCUUUGUCUCUGUAUCUCUCUCUGCAUCUCUCUGUCUGUCUCUGUGUCUCUGUCUCUCUCUCUUUCCUUCUUUCUCUCCGUCUGCAGUAGAGACGGGGUUUCGCCACAUUGGCCAGGCU
rnacentral:lncRNA from 13 species